rnacentral:lncRNA from 1 species
CCUGAAGCCGGGUCUCAGGCAACUAGGAUGGCGAAUCCGCGAGUGUUCCCACUUUCCUGUGUGGUGCAGCAGUAUGCCUGGGGGAAGGUGGGCUCCAAAAGUGAAGUGGCAUGCCUACUGGCUUGCAGUGACCCACUGACCCAGAUCUCAGAGGACAAGCCUUAUGCGGAGAGGUGCCUGAGUUCCAGUCACUGAUUGGAGAGGAUGCCACAGCACAGCUGAAGAAGAGCAUGAAUGAGGGUUCUGGGGCCAUGGCCUCUGCUCUGAAGAACUGCUUUUCCCACCUGAUGAAGAGUGAGAAGAAGGUGGUGGUGGAGCAGCUUAACCUGUUGGUGAAACGGAUCUCCCAGCAAAUAUCUAACGGAAACAGCAUGGAUGACAUUUGUGGGGAGCUCUUGCUACAGCUGCACCAGCAGUACCCGGGUGAUAUCGGAUGUUUCGCCAU